AGGAGAGACAACUGUUUCCAAUAGCCAGAAAGUAGAAUCAGUCUGGGUGUCCGCCAUCUGCUGAAAGGGUAAUGACAGCAUGGUGCAUAUUCACAAUGAACUUUUACUCAGAUAUGAAGAAAAAUGAAAUUAUGGGUUUUUCAGAACUUGACCGUCGAUCGGCUUUUCAACCCUCAUAUUCAAAGAUGCACCUCAUUUGCUGCUCAAGAUGCUGGAGUGGUAGAACAGACACAUGUCCGGGUCACCCCAGGGAGUCUCAGGUGUCCAGACACUGGGAGAAUGAAGCAGAGCAGGAAAUGAGUGACCUCUGUAGGAGACCAGUCUAGCUAGGAGUGCCAGGGAGUGCCUGAAAGAAGAAACUUUCUCCGAGGAAGGCCUUCUCAGAGGACUCCAGUGAUACAUUUCUUUUAGACAAUGCUUAAUAAAACAGUUCUCUU
rnacentral:lncRNA from 1 species